CUACAUUUAGCUCAAUUUGCUUCGAACAAGGAUGCUGGUUCAAGGUCUUUUUGCUCUCUAAUUCACAACCUCCUUUUUGUAUUUGCAGUUUCCCAACAAAUGUGUUUUCUUUUACUUAAGAUGAAUUUUCUCUGUGUUUACAAAAGGAGGGUGAAAGGAAGAUUCGAGGAGUAGGGGAUAAGCUAGUAGUCAAGAGGAUAUUCGUAUUGGUCUUCUUGGUGCAAGUGGCUACACUGGUGCCGAGGUACAUUCUCUCAACUUGUUAAUUUCAUUUUGAAUCUUCUUGCUUAUUUUAGUGAUGUCUUUGAUUAAGUGUACAUUUUGCAAGUGUGUGUCUUCCUUCUUCAGCUUAAGUGUACAUUUGCAGAAAUGUUUAAUGUGUUAAGUCUUGUGUCUUAACCAAAUGAUUUUUCUGGAAUGGGCAGAUAGUUAGGCUUGUUGCAAACCAUCCGCAUUUUGGUGUCACACUCAUGACUGCAGAUAGAAAAGCUGGCCAGUCUAUGGAUAGCGUUUUCCCUCACCUCACAGCUCAAGUAUUUAACUCAUGAUUUCUUCUACUCAUGGUAACAACCAAUCUUUAAGCAUCAUCUUCUCUACAGUUAUCGUUAAAAACUAAACCUCUACUGUUUGAGUAGACCCGCGGAAUGCAAUCGACUAUAUAUGUGGAAAUGGCUCCCGGAGUUAGAACACAAGACUUGUACCAGCAGUUAAAAUCGUCUUAUGAGGUUGUGAUAUGGUUUUUACUCUUUGUGUUAUAUGUAUCAAAGCCAGAUACUAGUUUUGUUUUACUUAUAUAUUAUGUAGGAAGAAGAGUUUGUCAAAGUGGUGGAUGAAGGAGUUGUUCCUCGAACACACAAUGUUAGAGGCUCAAACUAUUGUUUUGUGAACGUGUUCCCUGAUCGUAUACCUAGACGAGCUAUCAUAAUCUCAGUGAUUGACAAUCUUGUGAAAGGAGCUUCAAAGGAUAAUUCUAAGCACAAUGUGGCUGUUUAGAGUGCUUUUAUGAUUGAAUUUACACUAUUUAUUCAAUAAAGCACCAGAGGAAAGUCAAGUCAAGUCUAGGGAAUGCAAAAUCUACAGCCACACAGAUCAGUGAGAUAAUAAAAAGAAAGAAUCCUAUCAUCUUAGAAGAUUUGUAUUAUGUAUGAUAUUAAAAAUGUAAAAAUUUGAUUAUUUGUAAGCAAGCUCAAAAGGUGAAGGAAAAUAGAUGGAUGAAGCCCUCUAUUUGAACUGCAAACGAAAAGGAAUAAAGAUUAACCAAAGAUGAGAGUAUGGCAUAACCACUAUACUAAACUGGUUCUCUUGAUCCAUCAUUGCAUAAGAAUAUGUGUUCUCAGUUGAACCGGCUCUUCUGAUCUCUAUCAAUAGGUUCAAAUUCC